UCUUCCCAAGGGAGAUGCAAGCAUGUGCCUUGGCAACCAUUUUGUAUGAGAACACUAGCAGAAGCUGGAUCUUUAAGAGCCAGGGAUUGGAAAAGACGUGGCUUUUCAUUAAAUGGUGAAUGGGGUAUAAUCCUGCUCCAGGACUCUCCCAGCGCAUUGCUGACAUCACUGAGUGACUGCCCAGCCUCGCGUUUGCUCCCCUAGCUUCCUCGGCUCCCCACCAGCUCGCUCUGGCCCCUGAGAGCUGCGCUUCCCCGAAUUCCUGAGCUGCAUCUCCACCGCCAGACCACACCUCCAACCCCAGCAUCCUCUGCUCCAGUUUCCUCUCCUUGCACCUGCUCAGCUGUGGCCCCCAGGACUGUGGUUAGAACUGGAGAUGAUCGCAGGAAAGGGCGUGGCAAUGAAUAUGCUUGAAGCGUAUAAUACGUUAGGGCAGACGUGAAACCUGGCACCCUACACGGUCAGCGCAAGCCAACAAAAAGGUUUGAAGAAGGAGUCAGUGACUGACAGUCAUCUCAGAACAUUAGGGAGUGGAAGUUUCCAAGAGCUGUCUUCAGAUCUUUGCUCUUUACUUUGGAUUCUCUUCAUGGUGACUCAGAAGACCUGAGGGACAGUUCCCGUUAGUUCCUCAGGCAUCUUUGUAUGUUAGUUAUUGUGGCUAAGUGCCCACUCUGGGACUAGGAGAAAGGACAUCUAAAGAUUAUCGCAACUGGGGACGCAUGCAUCUGUCUUGGGGGAGCACCGUGGUGUUUGUUGUGAGACUUGAUAUCACGAGGGUUCCCCAUGAGGCUUUGUAGGGCAUUUUCUACACACACCGUUCCCCACAUUUCCAGGGAUGGCGUGCACUUUGGGACACAAAGUACCCAGAGAGGUGCUUAGGUUGUCCCAGGCUGCUCUAUGUAGAUCACAUUAGCAGGUGUCAGCCCAAGAAGGCUUGGGCUUGACUUUCUGAGUUUAUAGAAAAUGUGUUUUUUUUAUUGAUUCACA